AUUAAAUAUUUACUUAUUGUAUAUUUUUAUAUUAUUUUUAAUAAAAAUAAUUUUAAUAAAAAUUUGUUUCUGUAUAGUUUAUUGAUAAAAUAAUUUAAGUUAUAGUUAAUUAGUAUUGUAAAAGAAUAUUGAAAUAAAUUUAAAAAAAAAUUUUUUAAAAGUUAUAUUGUAUUUAUGUACCUUUUGUAUCAGGGUUUAUUAAACAAAUAUUAUUUAAAAAUAUAUUUCUCGAAUUUAAAAGAUUUAAUGAGUUAUUAAAGUUAAUGUUUUAUAAUUAUUUUAAAUAAUUUAUUAGUAAUGAAAUGUUAUUCGUUUUUAAAUAUAUCUAGUUUUUUAAGAAAUAAAUUUAAUUUAUAUGUAUUGUAUAUAUAUUGAUUUAAUUUUAAAUUGUAUAUUUAUAUAUAUAAAUAUUUUAAGGGAUAAGCUUUAAUUUAUUUUCUAUAAUAAAUUAUUUAUUAAAUUUAAUUGUAAGUUUAGAAAUAGUUAUCAAUAAAUAUUUUGUUUUAAUUUAUAAAUUUUGUGUUAAAUUUAUUAUUUAUUUAGAUUUUUUAUUAAAAUAAUUAUUUUAAUAAAAAAAAAUUAUAAAAUAAUGAUAAAAUUAGUAUUAAAUAUUAUAUAAAAUAAAUUAAUUAAUAGAUUAAUUUAAGGAAUUCGGCAAAUAUAUAUACCCACCUGUUUAACAAAAACAUGUCUUUUUGAGAAAUAAUUUAAAGUCUAACCUGCCCACUGAAUAAGUUUUGAAGGGCCGCGGUAUUUUGACUGUGCAAAGGUAGCAUAAUCAUUAGUCUUUUAAUUGAAGGCUUGUAUGAAUGGUUGAAUGAGGUAUUAACUGUCUCAAAUUAAUAAAUAAAAGAAUUUAAUUUUUAAGUUAAAAAGCUUAAAUUAUAUUAAAAGACGAGAAGACCCUAUAGAUCUUUAUAUUAAAAUGUAUAUUAAUAUUUAUGAUUAAUUUAUUUUUUAUAAAUUUUAUUAUUUUAUUGGGGUGAUAGAAAAAUUUAAUAAACUUUUUUUAUAUUAAACAUAAAUUUAUGGUUAAUUGAUCCAUUAUUAGUGAUUAUAAGAUUAAGUUACCUUAGGGAUAACAGCGUAAUUUUUUUAGAGAGUUCUUAUCGAUAAAAAAGAUUGCGACCUCGAUGUUGAAUUAAAGGUUAAUUUUAGGUGUAGAAGUUUAAAUAUUUGGUCUGUUCGACCAUUAAAUCUUUACAUGAUUUGAGUUCAAACCGGCGUGAGCCAGGUUGGUUUCUAUCUUUAAUAAAAGUAAAUAUACUAGUACGAAAGGACCUUAUAUUUAAUAAAUUAUUUUAUAUUAUGAAUAAUAUUAAU
rnacentral:rRNA from 1 species